CACGGUGGAUGCCUUGGCACUAGAAGCCGAUGAAGGACGUUACUAACGACGAUAUGCUUUGGGGAGCUGUAAGUAAGCUUUGAUCCAGAGAUUUCCGAAUGGGGAAACCCAGCAUGAGUUAUGUCAUGUUAUCGAUAUGUGAAUACAUAGCAUAUCAGAAGGCACACCCGGAGAACUGAAACAUCUUAGUACCCGGAGGAAGAGAAAGAAAAUUCGAUUCCCUUAGUAGCGGCGAGCGAAACGGGAAGAGCCCAAACCAACAAGCUUGCUUGUUGGGGUUGUAGGACACUCUAUACGGAGUUACAAAGGACGACAUUAGACGAAUCAUCUGGAAAGAUGAAUCAAAGAAGGUAAUAAUCCUGUAGUCGAAAAUGUUGUCUCUCUUGAGUGGAUCCUGAGUACGACGGAGCACGUGAAAUUCCGUCGGAAUCUGGGAGGACCAUCUCCUAAGGCUAAAUACUCUCUAGUGACCGA
rnacentral:rRNA from 1 species